GACGAACGCUGGCGGCGUGCUUAACACAUGCAAGUCGAACGGAAAGGCCCUGCUUUUGUGGGGUGCUCGAGUGGCGAACGGGUGAGUAACACGUGAGUAACCUGCCCUUGACUUUGGGAUAACUUCAGGAAACUGGGGCUAAUACCGGAUAGGAGCUCCUGCUGCAUGGUGGGGGUUGGAAAGUUUCGGCGGUUGGGGAUGGACUCGCGGCUUAUCAGCUUGUUGGUGGGGUAGUGGCUUACCAAGGCUUUGACGGGUAGCCGGCCUGAGAGGGUGACCGGCCACAUUGGGACUGGGGUACGGCCCGGACUCCAACGGGAGCAGCAGUGGGGAAUAUUGCACAAUGGGCGGAAGCCUGAUGCAGCAACGCCGCGUGCGGGAUGACGGCCUUCGGGUUGUAAACCGCUUUCGCCUGUGACGAAGCGUGAGUGACGGUAAUGGGUAAAGAAGCACCGGCUAACUACGUG
rnacentral:rRNA from 1 species